rnacentral:rRNA from 1 species
UACAGAGGGUGCGAGCGUUAAUCGGAAUUACUGGGCGUAAAGCGCACGUAGUCGGCUUUGCAAGUCGGUUGUGAAAUCCCCGGGCUCAACCUGGGAACUGCAUCCGAGACUGCAUUGCUAGAGUAUGGGAGAGGAAAGCGGAAUUUCUGGUGUAGCAGUGAAAUGCGUAGAUAUCAGAAGGAACAUCAGUGGCGAAGGCGGGUCUCUGGGCCGAUACUGACGCUGAGGAGCGAAAGCGUGGGGAGCGAACAGG